AAAAGGGAAGUUGAGGGUUGAAAUGUCUCGGCAAUGCAAUCAGUGUGUUCACUUUCUGACCAGACAGAGAGCUGUCCAAGAGAACGGCCAGAUGUUGGAGCGCCGGGAAACUGAGCAAGAAAGCAGGUGGCCGGGGCAGAGCCUGGUGCGGUGGGGUUGUCCUCGUCUUUCGGGCAGCCCUAUGGGACUCGGGGCCACAGCCAUCCUGUUCUGCAUGCUCCUGGACCCAGUUUUCCUCCAGACUCUGGAGCAGCAGGAUCUUCCAACCGUGGCAGGGAUCCCCAGUCUAAAUAUGAAGUUUGACUCUUGGAGAAUGGAACUGAGUUGGGACUGCAAAGAAAACACUACCUACCUCGAGUGCGUGAUGAUUCACAAGGACAAAGGGCCGAUCGAAAUAACACCCCAGGAGAAAGAAUGUCACUGCAAGUUUUCGGAUUAUUCUCUCCAUGAUGGAGUCACGCUCAUGGUUAAAGUAAAUAGCACCCAAAGACCGAUUCCAGAAACACUGGUCUACACUAACGCAGGUGGGGAGGGCACAGCUGCCCAAAACUUCUCCUGUUUCAUCUACAAUGCCAACUUCAUGAACUGCAGUUGGGCAAAGGGUCAAGCUGCCCCUGAUGAUGUCCAAUAUUUUUUGUACAUACGAGACUCAAGUUUGGAAUUUUAUAGGAAAAAAAGGGAAAGAGAGUGUCCUUGUUACAUAGAAGACUCAGGAACCCACGUGGGAUGCCACCUGGAAGACCUCUCAGGAUUAGCGAGCUACAAUUACUUCCUGGUGAACGGUACCAGCCAAGGGACAGGAAUCCAGUUCUUUGAUUCGGUUUUGUCGUGGAAGAAAAUCGAAAUAUUUAGCCCACCCAACAAUAUCAGCGUGCACUGCACCAGGUCCCACUGCCUGAUUCAGUGGGAAAAGCCCAAGACCCGACAUAACCUGCCCAACUGGGAGUUCAAAUACCAGCUGGACAUCCAAAAACAGAGCAAUAAGGAACACAGCGAGAAUCAACCGAUUGAGGUGUCCGGAAAUUGGGAAAAUAACUACAACUUCCCGAGUCCGGAGCCCAGAGCCAAGCACACUGUGAAAAUAAGGGCCUCGGACGCACGCAUCGAGAAAUGGGGUGCCUGGAGCCAGGCCGUUGAGUUCGGCUCUAAGGAACCCGAGCCCAGCCUCGUGCCCACCUAUGCGCUGGUGGUCCUGGGGACCUUCCUCACCGCCCUCAUCCUAGGCUGCCUUUUGAAAAGGUUCUUCGCGUCUGAAAGGUUAUUCCCGCCGAUUCCACGCAUCAAAGACAAAUGGGAUGAUAGCCAUCAGUGUGACCACCAGGUCAUCUGGGAGAACUUCACGUUGGACACGGAGAAAGCUGACAACGAAGAGAUCCUCACCGUGGAAGAAGUCACAGUGACUCCAGGAAACAAGGAAACUUUCCUGGCAUUACGGAGACUCAGGUGCUUGUCUGCCAGCAGACAGCUUGGCUGGGACGUGGGUCUCUGACGUGUCUGCUGUCCCUGGGGGAACAUUGCCCUCCCCCUGUUUCUCCACCGGCUGCAGCUCAGCCCCAUAUGGGGAGCACCUGAGGGUCUUGAAUAGUAAUCUCCCCUGCGAAGGCUCAUUUGCCACGUAACGUGACACAUUCACAGGCUCCAGGAAGCGGGGUGUGGACAUCUUUGAGGACAUUGUUCCGUCCACCACGUGGGGAUUGGGACUUCGACAAGUUUGGGGACGUUAUUCCAUGCACCAUAUGCAGACUGGGACGCAGACGCGUUUGGGGACAUUGCUCCGUCUGCCACACCUGGAUUGGGACAUGGACACCUUCGUCUGCAGGCACGGACAGGGAUGGGAGGGGACUUCUCACGAGGAUCCUGAAACCAAUGCUGCACCUUGACCUUUGAGACCCGUGAUUACCGAAACCCCGCCGGCCACUCGCCCACCCACAUGAAGAUUCAGCCGCCUUGGCGUUACCGAUGGCUUGACAGAGGCUCUGAACUCUGUUGGAUGUUCCACAUGGACCCCACGCUCCCCCGAGUGUGUGCAACCUGUGGCUCCAGGUUGCUGCCUCACGGUUCCAACAGCCACUUUCUGUGGGUCCUGUCCAUCUGUCCGUCCAUAAGAUCAUGCACGUGAUGUGGAAACCUGCCUCCCUUCCCUCAUCUCUGUAUGAAACACCAGCGCCCUCUCUCUGCGACUCCUGGCACCUGACGUCCUGCCGUAUGUGGGGGCGCCCACUUCAGGCCAAGACCUGUCCGUGGAAAGUAAAUGCUGCCCAGAGUCCUGAAGGACCAACUGGCCUCCAGGAUGACACACGCCAGCCCAAAGGAGGCCCACAGCGACACCGGAGGACAGGACCUCCGCGUGUUGGGAGUGUGGCUGGUGCCCCAAGGCGCCCAUGUAGGACUGUGAGGAAUAAAAGCAUGGACGGCCCCAAAGGCAUGCUCCUUGCACUUUGAAAUUUUGCCCUGGAGUGGCCGAGAUGGAGCCAAAAAAUUCUUUAAAGAGAAAGAAAAGCGCUUUUAUUUAUUUGAGAGAGACUGAGAGAGGAGUGGCAGGCCGAGGGAGAAGCAGACUCCCUGCUGAGCAAGGACCCCCCCCCCAAUGCGGGGCUCGAUCCCAGGACCCUGAGAUCAUGACCUGAGACGAAGGCAGACGCUUAAAUGACUGAGCCACCCAGACACCCAGGAACCAAAAAAUUCUAUGCACAGAAAACAAAAAACCAGGUUUCUGUGAACAACUCUCCAUCCGCAAAUAAUAGAUAUGCGAGAUUCUAAAUCACAUUGUGAAAUAGAGACAUUUUAUAUUUAGCCUUUCCAGUUUCUGUUCCCUCUUUCCUUCUCCGUUCUGCCACCAUGACGCCCUCCCCUCUCACCCUUCGCUUCUGUAAAACAUGACUUCCUGCAUUUAUGAGCA